rnacentral:rRNA from 1 species
GCUCUUAAUCGAGUGUCUAGGGAUGCUAGCGGGUUUACUUUGAAAAAAUUAGAGUGCUCAAAGCAGGCUAUUACGCUUGAAUAUUCGUGCAUGGAAUAAUAGAAUAGGAAGUUGUUUCUAUUUUGUUGGUUUUCGGAAAUCGACUUAAUGAUUAAUAGGGACAGUCGGGGGCAUUUGUAUUCAAACAACAGAGGUGAAAUUCUUGGACCGUUUGAAGACAAGCUACUGCGAAAGCAUUUGCCAAGAAUGCUUUCAUUAAUCAAGAACGAAAGUUAGAGGUUCGAAGGCGAUUAGAUACCGCCCUAGUUCUAACCAUAAACGAUGCCAGCUAGCGAUCUGAGGACGUUUUUUUUGUAGACUCCUCAGGAAGCUUCCGGGAAACCAAAGCGUGUGGGUUCCGGGGGAAGUAUGGUUGCAAAGCUGAAACUUGAAGGAAUUGACGGAAGGGCACCACCAGGAGUGGAGCCUGCGGCUUAAUUUGACUCAACACGGGAAAUCUCACCAGGCCCGGACACUGGAAGGAUUGACAGAUUGAGAGCUCUUUCUCGAUUCGGUGGGUGGUGGUGCAUGGCCGUUCUUAGUUGGUGGAGUGAUUUGUCUGGUUAAUUCCGAUAACGAACGAGACUCUGUCCUGCUAAAUAGUGUCAGCCUCUCUUUUGGGCUGACAAUUCUUCUUAGAGGGACUGGCGGCUCCUAGCCGCACGAGAUAGAGCAAUAACAGGUCUGUGAUGCCCUUAGAUGUUCUGGGCCGCACGCGCGCUACACUGAAUAGAUCAGCGUGUUCUCCCUUUCUGAGAAGAACGGGUAAACCGCUGAACCCUAUUCGUGGUAGGGAUCGGGGCUUGCAAUUAUUCCCCGUGAACCAGGAAUUCCCAGUAGGCGCGAGUCAUAAGCUCGCGUCGAUUACGUCCCUGCCCUUUGUACACACCGCCCGUCGCUACUACCGAUUGAAUGGCU